rnacentral:piRNA from 1 species
UAGGACGAACCCAGGCACUUAGCCUUGCAGG